CCGUUUGUGGGGACGCGGAGGGACAUUA
rnacentral:rRNA from 1 species